CUAAUGUUCCUCCUCAGUGCAAGGCUGACUGGUACAGUACACAGUUUGUUAGCUUUGAUUUAUGUUCCUUCACUGCAUUUAGCAUGGUUUACUCUAGUCCAAAAGUAUGAAAAAUAAAUUUCUAGUUAUUGAUAUUUGGGCUGGGGUCACACUUAUCCUGGCAUCAUUCCAAGCUGUGGCUCACAAACAUUCUUCUUGCUGUUGACUGUAUAACAUAAACAUAUAAGUCAUCUUAAACAGGUACAAGUUCAAUUGCUGUGGUUUUGCUAAGUCAGGCCUAAUUUCUUACACAGCCUCUGUGUAUUUAGUAUAAAUCUAAGCUCCAUAUCAAAAUUUUGUAGGGUAAUAAAUUGUUAAAUUUAAAUGAAAGACUCUGGUUUUUGAAGAAACAGAGACAAAAUUAUUUCUACCUUAAACUUUGCUUGUUUUAUAAAGUAGUGUACUUUGAUGCAGUAAUUGAACUGAUAAAUAAAAAUAACCCAGGAAAUAACCAGAAGAGAAGAGGAUUGAAGGCUUUGACACACAUUUGAAAUUGCCAACUUUCCAUCUGUAAACAAUAGUUCAAGGGAGGUCUGAGGUACCAAAUUUUUAUGAAUACUCGAUUUUGGUUGAAGUGAACAUGGACUUCCAAGUUAUACAGGGUUUUGCUGAAAAAUAAGCUGUCAUAUCUAAUUGUAGAUGAAAAUACAGGAAGAAUUUUUUUUUUGAUGGGUUGACUCAGUAUUUUUAUUUUGCUUUGGAGUGCAGAAAUUUAAUAUUAAAUUAUGUCUUAUCUAACAAAGUAAAGGAUGUAGAAUGAUGCAGGUGGCACAGUUUGGUAUUGUGGAAUUUUUUUGAUCGAUUGUUCUGGAGUGUGACCCCAGCCACUAGAAAAAAAUGAUUGAAAAAUAGUCUUUGCAGUAUGGUGAUUUUGCUUGGUUCUCAAAUUGAGACCAUCAAUCCAAGCAGGCAGGUACUCUUUGAGGAGAUAUUUUCAAACCAGGAAAGUUAUUUCCUUGCUCCCAAUUCAUUUUACGACAUCCUGUUUUCUUUUGUUUGUGUUGUGAUGGCCUUGGUUUCCUCAAUACCUGAGAGCACUAGAGGAAAAUAGACAAAGUGACACAACAGUUUGGAAUCUAGUUUUACUGCGGAAUUGCAUGGUGAAUGUAAAUAGGUUUUGUACGUUAGUUUAUUGUUUGAAUUUUGCAGCAACUGAGUGGGCACAGUUGGUAGGGCCUCCUGGACGUCUGCAGAUGGAGUUUUGCACACCUUCGAAGUUGCAGGGACUGCCUCAGAAAUUGAUGAUAAAGCUGUGGAGGCCUUUGUCGAUGAGGAUGAUUUUAUCAUAUCCUUAGACUACAACGAAAAAAUGGGAGUUUGCAGCGUAGUCUUGGAGACAUCAAGCUGACAAAUAGUGUUGGAGGUUCAUGACCUGGUUUUCUACUUUGCCAAGUUGGAGGACAUAAUUUACAAGUUAUAUUGACUUUGCAUAUUUUGUGGAAGUUCACUGCUAGUUAUGUUGACAAGGAGAAAUAUAUAUACUGUAUGUUUCUUUGUGAUAUAAGUUGAUUGUAAGAGUGGAAUUUCUCUGUAACAUGGUGUUCAGGAGGUUUUUCUUUUCUGGAGUAACUUAUUACUAUGAGGAAUUUUCAAUCAUGCAACUCUGAUAAUAUAUCUAGCAUAACUUAACCCUUUAACUCCCAAGAUCUGAUCAUCAAUUCUCCUUUCAAGCUGUUGCAAAUUUCCUUGUGAAUUAGUUCUAGGCUGUCAUUUUGACUUGCUGCCAAAUUUGUCUUCCUAAUUUACAAGAAAAUAGAUGUAAGUUUAAUAGAGAAUUUCAGUUCUCAUCUUUGUAGUUUAAGGGUUAGAUUUGAUGUACUCUCCUGAUAGGGAGCAAUAUUUGUGGCAUAGGACAUGCCCAUAUGACAAGAUUUGUAAUUUUUAUUUGUAGUAAAAUAUUUCCAGUACACUUUCUGGAUAAGAUUGUAUAUUUGUACUAAGAUAUACUAUAUCAUGGGGAGAGAGUUGUUUUGUAAUUUAUUUCAUCGCAAAAAAUCAACAAAAGUUAAGUGUUACUCCAACGAAAAGAGUAUUAUUCUGGUCACAGUGUAAAAAUUUAUGUGUAAACAAUAUUAUUCACUUUGGAUAGUUUAUGUUAUUUCCUUUUACAGAAAAAUCAAUUUUGUAUUUUAAUUCUUGUAGAGCAAUUUCAAGAGAGAAACAUGACUUCCAGACUUAGUUUUUGUCUGGUUUUCUGUUUCAUUUCAUGUUUUUUAUUAUUUUAUAACAAGUUGUCAAAUUUCAUUCAUGAUUCAGUGCUGUGUAGACUUAGCUUCCAUGUUUGAAGCAUUUAAGAAAAUUUUUGUCAAAGACUUGGUUCUAAGGUAAUAUUUGCCAUUUUUUCUGAAGGAAAGACCUCUGUUAAGUAACUAAGAUGCAGAUCUCUUCAGAAAUCAAACUCCAAGUAGUGGCUGCACAUUAUUUGAUGGGUGAAGGUAGAAACUGAAAGUUUUUUUUCUCAGGAAUAACUUUGUCACAGUAAUAUCUGACCUUUCUUUAGGAAUUAAAACUUUCUUUUGUUGUUUACAAUCAAAAUUAAGCAAUUUUAAAGAUGCAAGUAUUUCUUUGAUCAAAGCACAAUAAACACAGAAAAAUAGAGCAAAAAGCAGGCUCCUUUUUUCACAGCUGUGUUUUUGAAGCUGAGAAUCAGUAUAUCCCAAACAACUUUGCUAAGUGCCAACCAAUUUCCAUCACCUGAAAUUUAGCCAUGCAGAGUUUUUAUGCUAUUAUUCCUGUUACAGCUGACAGGAUCACUUAUAAUUUAAUUUUCAAGUACAGGUGUGUAGCUAGCCUGAAGGCCUGGUCCUAAUAUUUUUGUCCACACACUUGACUUUAACAUUAUGACUCUGGCAAAUGUUGAAACAAAGAUGGAACUUUCCUAGGGGACUAGCCUAAAACAAUUCAAAAACAUGGCUACACCCCAGAGGUAGAUAUAAGAGCUGAAGGUUUGCAACUAAAUCACUUAAAAAUUGUGUGGGAUUAUUUUUUACUUCAUAAUAGAAACUUGCUCGUAGUUAUUUUUUUUUUUACAAUUUUGAUCCCUGGAUGCAUUUUUUUUUUCUCCAAUUAAAAAAGCUACUUGGUUCUUUUUUAUCCUAUAAUUUUAGUUAACCCUUUAACUCCCAUGAGUGACCAAGACAGAAUUUCUCCUUACAUUAUCAAUACAAAAUCAAGAAGACAAGUGAUGAGAAUCAAGGAAAGUAUCAAUUAGGAGAUUAUUAGUAGAUCCAAUACCAAAUUCUCAGAAUUAACAUCUGAAGAAUUGUAUAGCAGACAGUAAGGAGAAAUACUAAUGAGAUCUUGGGACUUAAAGGGUCAAGAACCAAAAUUGUUCCCUUGCCUGCUAGCCAGAAUAAAUUUGGUUACAUGCCUAAUUACUGAUAAGUGAAGGGUGAAAGAGGUGAUUUUCUCUAAUCUCAAUUCAUUAAGGCAAACAAGACACUUUCCGUCUCUCGUUAGUGUUGGUUAUGAGGCAGCAUACUGUCUUGAAGAGAAUGGGUUGUCACUAUUGAACCUGGCAACAGUUAAUAAACUGGUGAAAUAUAAAGAUGAAA